UUACCCGCGUCCUGCAUACGUCUUUAUCUCACGUAUAACAUAGUAAAAACCGUUUCAUGCGGACAAGAACCACUAGGGCUGUAGUCUCAGUUAAUAACCAAAUUUUCACAUUAUAAAAAGGUUAACAUUGGCUGUGCAAUAUCGUUUUUAGUUUUUUAAUAUCACUAAUACGCAAAAAGUUCUUAUCGUUUAAAAAUCUAUUAUUAUUAUGUUAUUCAAACUUGAAUAACUUUUUUUUUCAUUUAGAUAUCAAAAAAAUAAAAACAAAAUUGUACACCUCAAACCCUCCUCUUUCUAGUGUGAAAAUUUGUUUGCUUAACUUGGACUACAGCUUGAGUGGUUCUCGCCCACGUGAAAUGGUUUUUACUAUGUUGUAUAUGUUUGUAAGACGGAUACAUUGCAGCGGGCGAAGCAUCCUCUUAUUGAGAUAUUGUCGUUAUAGCUACUCGUAUAUAGGUUUUAUAUAAGUUUUAAAUAAAAUAUAAUUAAAUAAAUAAAUAAAAAAUUAUUUUGUGCGUACGUUAUAAUAUAAACGUGAAAAAAUAACCAUACAAUUUUUAAUGUUGGCUGAAUGGUCUGAACGGUCUUUAACUGUAGUGGACUGCAGUGGACACGGCGAGACCGAGGAAUCCGCUGACACGAGGAUUUUGGUGUAACACGAAGCGUCGUCGGAGGGCAGGUCAGUCUACUCAUUCUUUUUAUUAUAUAUGUAUCGAUUUAUUGACAUUAGCCGUUAGUAAUAAAUUAUAAUUAUUACUAAUAAUAAAGUAAAAUUGCUUAUUUAAUUUA